rnacentral:tmRNA from 1 species
GGGGCUGAUUCUGGAUUCGACGGGAUUUGCGAAACCCAAGGUGCAUGCCGAGGGGCGGUUGGCCUCGUAAAAAGCCGCAAAAAAAUAGUCGCAAACGACGAAAACUACGCUUUAGCAGCUUAAUAACCUGCUUAGAGCCCUCUCUCCCUAGCCUCCGCUCUUAGGACGGGGAUCAAGAGAGGUCAAACCCAAAAGAGAUCGCGCGGAUGCCCUGCCUGGGGUUGAAGCGUUAAAACGAAUCAGGCUAGUCUGGUAGUGGCGUGUCCGUCCGCAGGUGCCAGGCGAAUGUAAAGACAGACUAAGCAUGUAGUACCGAGGAUGUAGGAAUUUCGGACGCGGGUUCAACUCCCGCCA